GGUGCUGUGGCGCAGCAGGUUAGAGCUCUGGCCUGAAGUGCCGGCAUCCCAUAUGGGCACUGGUUCUAGUCCUGGCUGCUCCA
rnacentral:tRNA from 1 species